rnacentral:lncRNA from 11 species
CUGGCACGCACUUUGGCUCGCGUUCCGCGCUGGAAGCUCCUCCGGCGUCACGUGUGAACCCCCGACCCGCAAGUUUCCCUCAAGUCGGGAAGGGGGCUUUCGACACUCGCUUUUCUAUAUAACACACCAAGCAGCACCAAGCAUCUGCGUUUCCUGGCUUCCCAGUCUUUUUAAAACCCAAGACUCUUCCCAUCUUCUCGAAAACUUCGUUGAGGGCGAAAUGUUCUUCCUGAGAAGCCGGAAAGGAUGUGGGGAAAAGACUGAAAUAGUCGCAGACGAGAUUAAAAUCGCUCUCCGCGCGUCCGUGUGUGUGUGUAUGGGAGUGUGUGGCGGCGUGCUGGGGCGGCUGUGUUAUUUUCCCAGCCCUGAGCCUCGUCUGAGCAGCUCGAUCGAUUCUCAUUGAUUGUCCCUGACGAGCUGCUCCACUUUCCAGCCAAUGUCAGCCUGUCUGCGUUCGGGAAAGAGAGAAAUUAAGGAAAAUCUCUGCCGCCCUGGCGGUGUCAUUUCCACACACUUCAGCUGGCAGGCGGCCAGGUGCCGGGCGAUAGGCAAGAGCCGGGCCGGACUCGCCUCAGACUUCGGAUCCGGAGCCCACCGGAGGGAAAGGCACCCAAGAGCCAGCCCGGAGCCAAGAGGCCGCUUUAGGGGUUCAAGCCACCCACGAAUAUUGUCAGUUCUCCAGGAAUAGUCAUAUAGGAAUGCCAAGCAGUUGCAGCUUAAUGUUUCAUUUUGAAGCGCACUGAACUAUCCAGAAAAAAAAUAAGAAGGUAAGCCAGAGGUCAUUGCUUCAUUUUUGCAGCAAAAA